rnacentral:rRNA from 1 species
CAUAGGUUAAUGAGGCGAACCGGGGGAACUGAAACAUCUAAGUACCCCGAGGAAAAGAAAUCAACCGAGAUUCCCCCAGUAGCGGCGAGCGAACGGGGAGGAGCCCAGAGCCUGAAUCAGUGUGUGUGUUAGUGGAAGCGUCUGGAAAGGCGCGCGAUACAGGGUGACAGCCCCGUACACAAAAAUGCACAUAUUGUGAGCUCGAUGAGUAGGGCGGGACACGUGGUAUCCUGUCUGAAUAUGGGGGGACCAUCCUCCAAGGCUAAAUACUCCUGACUGACCGAUAGUGAACCAGUACCGUGAGGGAAAGGCGAAAAGAACCCCGGCGAGGGGAGUGAAAAAGAACCUGAAACCGUGUACGUACAAGCAGUGGGAGCCUCUUAAUGGGGUGACUGCGUACCUUUU